UACGGGGGGGGCGAGCGUUGUUCGGAAUUACUGGGCGUAAAGGGCGCGUAGGUGGUUUGCUAAGUCGGAUGUGAAAACUCUGGGCUUAACCCAGAGCCUGCAUCCGAAACUGGCGGGCUAGAGUUCUGGAGGGGGAAGCGGAAUUCCUGGUGUAGCGGUGAAAUGCGUAGAUAUCAGGAGGAACACCGGUGGCGAAGGCGGCUUCCUGGACAGAAACUGACACUGAGGCGCGAAAGCUAGGGGAGCAAACAGG
rnacentral:rRNA from 1 species